GGCUACACGGUGGCGCAGUUGGUAGCACUUUUACCUUGCACAAUAAGGUCCUGGGUUCAACUCCUGGCCCGGGGUCU